GAUGAACGCUGGCGACGUGCCUAAUACAUGCAAGUAGAACGCUGAAGCUUGGUGCUUGCACCGAGCGGAUGAGUUGCGAACGGGUGAGUAACGCGUAGGUAACCUGCCUCUUAGCGGGGGAUAACUAUUGGAAACGAUAGCUAAUACCGCAUAAAAGUCGAUAUCGCAUGAUAUUGAUUUGAAAGGUGCAAUUGCAUCACUAAGAGAUGGACCUGCGUUGUAUUAGCUAGUUGGUGAGGUAACGGCUCACCAAGGCGACGAUACAUAGCCGACCUGAGAGGGUGAUCGGCCACACUGGGACUGAGACACGGCCCAGACUCCUACGGGAGGCAGCAGGAGGGAAUCUUCGGCAAUGGGGGCAACCCUGACCGAGCAACGCCGCGUGAGUGAAGAAGGUUUUCGGAUCGUAAAGCUCUGUUGUAAGAGAAGAACGAGUGUGAGAGUGGAAAGUUCACACUGUGACGGUAACUUACCAGAAAGGGACGGCUAACUACGUG
rnacentral:rRNA from 1 species